UUUUCAUUAUCUGCGUACACAAUGUAGUGUGGCAAAUUUCUUGGAUAAGGUAUUAUGACCCUUUUUGUGUGGACUAAGAUAUCAGGAAAAUUCUUUUUCUGAAAGCUUCUGAGACACAAAAAUCAUUAUUGUUAUCUGAGACUGAUCUAGUGGCCGAGGAUUUUAAGGUUCACGGAGAUGAAAUACAUACAAAGCUUGUUCAGAUAAUAAGAGAAAGGUUAUCAGUUCAUGUGCGUGGCUUGCCCCAAAUUGUUGAGGGAUGGAAUAGACCUGAAGAUGCUGACACACAGCCCAGUUAGUUCGCUCGUUCCCUUACCAAGGCAAGUGGUUAUUGUUAUUCAUUCACAACUUUCAAAAGCAUUUUCAUGCUUAGAGAUCAGCACUCCACAAACGAAGGAUAGGAUGUAUCGAGACAUUAAGCACAUUCUUAGAUGUGUCUGAUCCCUGCCUUAUAAUAAUUUGAGUAGAUCCAAUAUUCCAAAUUGGGGGGCAACUCGAUGAAUACUUGGUGAAAAGAAUCGGAGACCAAAGCUGAUGAGGAAAGUACAAGAAAAA